GACGAACGCUGGCGGCGUGCUUAACACAUGCAAGUCGAACGGUCCUGUUUUUGAAGCGCUUCGGCGUGGAGGGAGCGGGUUAGUGGCGCACGGGUGAGUAAUGCGCGAGGACCUGCCCGCGGGAGGGGGACAGCAGUUGGAAACGGCUGGUGAUACCCCGUAAGCCGGGAGGUAAAAGGGCGGAGACGCCCGCCUGCGGAUGGACUCGCGUCCUAUCAGCUAGUUGGUGAGGCAACGGCUCACCAAGGCGACGACGGGUAGCCGGCCUGAGAGGGUGUCCGGCCACACUGGAACUGAGACACGGUCCAGACUCCUACGGGAGGCAGCAGUGGGGAAUUUGGGCAAGUGGGGGAGACCCUGACCCAGCGACGCCGCGUGAGGGACGAAGGCCUUGGGUCGUAAACCUCUUUUGCGAGGGGAAGAAGAAGAUGACGGUACCUUGCGAACAAGUCCCGGCUAACUACGUGCCAGCAGCCGACGGUAAAAGUGUGUGUA
rnacentral:rRNA from 1 species